UACGGGGGGGGCAAGCGUUGUUCGGAAUUACUGGGCGUAAAGGGCUCGUAGGCGGCCAACUAAGUCAUACGUGAAAUCCCUCGGCUUAACCGGGGAACUGCGUCUGAUACUGGAUGGCUUGAGUUCGGGAGAGGGAUGCGGAAUUCCAGGUGUAGCGGUGAAAUGCGUAGAGAUCAGGAAGAACACCAGUGGCGAAGGCGCUCUGCUAGGCCGUAACUGACACUGAGGGACGAAAGCUAGGGGAGCGAAUGGG
rnacentral:rRNA from 1 species